AACUUURGAUUUUAGUGCAAACGCUAAAAUUCUCCUUUUARACGAUAAGACCCUAAAAUCUUUCUAUUUUUAAUUGGGAUGAUACGAUAAUUUAACAAACUUUCUCUAAAUUUUACGAACCUCCUUGAGCUGAAAGCUUAAGAUACUUUAGGGAUAACAGCUUUUAUUCUCUUACAAGCACCUAUUUAAAGAGCUAUAAAGACCUCGAUGUUGAAUUAACCUGCUUUAAGCUGCAAAAGGCUUUCCACUUUAGUCUGUUCGACUAUUAAGGUUACGUGAUCUGAGUUCAGACC
rnacentral:rRNA from 1 species